rnacentral:rRNA from 1 species
GAUGAACGCUGGCGGCGUGCCUAACACAUGCAAGUCGAGCGAGAAGUUUAUGAAGGAACCUUCGGGUGACUGAUUAAAUGGAAAGCGGCGGACGGGUGAGUAACGCGUGGGUAACCUGCCCCAUACAAAGGGAUAGCCACUGGAAACGGUGAUUAAUACCAUAUGAGAUCGUAGAGUCGCAUGACUUAGCGGUUAAAGAUUUAUCGGUAUGGGAUGGACCCGCGUCUGAUUAGCUAGUUGGUAAGGUAACGGCUUACCAAGGCGACGAUCAGUAGCCGACCUGAGAGGGUGAUCGGCCACACUGGAACUGAGACACGGUCCAG